rnacentral:rRNA from 1 species
AUUGAACGCUGGCGGCAGGCUUAACCCAUGCAAGUCGAACGAGUGGCGGACGGGUGUGUAAUGUAUGGGAAUCUGCCCUAUGGAGGGGGAUACCUACUGGAAACUGUGGCUAAUCCCGCAUACCAUAGGAUGAGCCCAUAUGGGAUUAGGUAGUUGGUGGGGUAAAGGCUAACCAAGCCGACGAUCUCUAGCUGGUCUUAGAGGAUGACCAGCCACACUGGGACUGAGAAACGGCCCAGACUCCUACGGGAGGCAGCAGUGGGGAAUAUUGCACAAUGGGCGCAAGCCUGACGCAGCCAUGCCGCGUGUAUGAAGAAGGCAUUAGGGUUGUAAAGUUCUUUCAGUAGGGAGGCGUUACCUGCAGAAGAAGCACCGGCUAACUCCGUGCCAGCCGCCGCGGUAAUAC